GCCCGGGUGGCGGAACAGGCAGACGCGCCGGUCUCAAAAACCGGUGGCCGAAAGGUCGUGCGGGUUCGAUUCCCGCCCCGGGCACCA
rnacentral:tRNA from 1 species